rnacentral:rRNA from 1 species
AUUGAACGCUGGCGGCAGGCUUAACACAUGCAAGUCGAGCGGGGUGAUGGUGCUUGCACUAUCACUUAGCGGCGGACGGGUGAGUAAUGCUUAGGAAUCUGCCUAUUAGUGGGGGACAACAUCUCGAAAGGGAUGCUAAUACCGCAUACGUCCUACGGGAGAAAGCAGGGGAUCACUUGUGACCUUGCGCUAAUAGAUGAGCCUAAGUCGGAUUAGCUAGUUGGUGGGGUAAAAGCCUACCAAGGCGAUGAUCGGUAGCUGGUCUGAGAGGAUGAUCAGCCACACUGGGACUGAGACACGGCCCAGACUCCUACGGGAGGCAGCAGUGGGGAAUAUUGGACAAUGGGCGCAAGCCUGAUCCAGCCAUGCCGCGUGUGUGAAGAAGGCCUUAUGGUUGUAAAGCACUUUAAGCGAGGAGGAGGCUACUCUAGUUAAUACCUAGGGAUAGUGGACGUUACUCGCAGAAUAAGCACCGGCUAACUCUGUGCCAGCAGCCGCGGUAA